CUAGCAUCGAAUGCUGAUUCUAACAAGUCUGAGGGGACAAAUAACCCUGAGGACUGAUUUGUGGGAAAAUGUGUUUGCUCUUGUAAAAUGCUUACUGUGUGCAUUUUCUUUUGCCUUCAAUGUGAAUCCAUGAAUGGAAUCAUUUCUAAAGCAUGCUUGAAGCAUUCCUGGAAUAUGUAGUGCAUGGGAAAGGGGGGUGGUCUGAGAUUCCUGGCACUUCCAGAGCCUUGGGCAUUGAAUCCAUUCGCAAUGGUUUGCCUUGCCUUUCUGUGUAAGGAUUAGUUCAUGGAGGGGGGGGAGAGAGAGAGAGAGAGAGAGAGAGAGAGAAAGAGAGAGAUGGGACGCACGGGCCAGUCAGGGCACUGGCUCAUCUGUGGCCCAGACAUCCAACUGUUUAUUGGACUGAGUGAUACCAGCAUCUUUAUGUGCCGUGUGAAAAGUCUAAACACGUGCUCUGGAAAGAUUGCCAUCUAGCAGAUUUUUGGGAUCCUGCCUCAGACUGGUACUGUACAUCACAACUUCAUCUGUCAGGUUGGCUUUGUGACAGUACACAUACUGUGUGCCAAAAACCUGGGUGUGGAACCCCCUCUCCCCCUGCACUCUUCAUGGCUAAGGCAACACCAGGGGAAUUAAUACAGUGUAGCAUGUCUUAUUUUGAGAGCUGGUGUGUGUGUGUGUGUGUGUGUGUGUGUGUGUGUGUGUGUGUGUGCAAAAGCCCUCAGCUGCAAGGCACUGCUGUGUUGUUAUUUCCACUUAAUAACAUUAUUUCGAGCUAUCGUCAUUAUGUACCCUUAAGAUCUUGUUCUAAUGACGUUAUACAUUUAACACAUUUGAUAUAAUCUUGUCUUUAUAAAGAGUUAUCUUUUUAUUUGGACAUUGACAUUUCAGAUUAAGAUCCCACUCGAUAACUCAUUAUUUAGUUCUCCUGUUAUUCCGACGACACUAUAUCAGAAUUUUGACUUACAUCACGCCCUAUUUAGAGCUAUCUUAUUUUGAUUUAUUUCAACUUAACAUCUCAACAUUUUGACUCAGUAACUCAUUAUUUCGAGUUAUCUCAUUAUUUCAACAUAUCUCCUUAUUUUGACUCACCAGCUCAUUAUUUUGCUGAAAUACAGUAACUCUUAAGUUAUUUUGAGUUAUCUUGUUAUUUCAUGCUAUUUUCAUUAUUCUGAUUUCAUAGCUCGUUAUUUUAUCUUGUUCUGGCAAAUUAUUAUCUCAUUAUUAUUAUCACAUAUUUUGAC
ensembl:lncRNA